AGCAUUCUUUAGGGCUUUAUCUGUUUCCAAAUGUCUGACUCCACAAGGAGCCAUUUCGCACUGCUGAUGAGGGCUGGUCAUUCUAUCUUUCUAACAAAUGACAGACAGUAUCCACAACUCAAUCAGAAACCUGUUAGAGGCCUACCUUAAAAAGUUUGGAUUUCUCUUCAGAUUGCAGGCUCCUGUGUUAUCACAUUGGGCCAAAUUCUGCCCUCAAGUAUAUCCUUGCAUAGCUCUUCUGGACUUCAAAGAGAGCUGCACAUAUGUGUCUUAAAGCAAA